UUUUUAAUUGGGGACUGGAAUGAAUGGUUGGAUAGGGAAAAUCUAUUUCAUUGUUGGGGGAUAAAAUUAAUUACCAAGUGAAAAGGCUUGGAUUUGUAAAGUGACGAGAAGACCCUAAGAUUUUUACUAAUGAGUUCGGAGUUGUUGUUUGUGAAUAAGUUAGUUUUGCUGGGGCGGCAAAUUUUGUAACAAAAAGAGUAAGAACCUAAAUGGGGGGACGAGGGAUUAAUUAUCUUGUGUGGAUUGUAAAAUAAGUUACCUUAGGGAUAACAGCAUAAUCUUUUUUGAGAGACCACAUUGACGAAGGGGUUUGUGACCUCGAUGUUGGAUUUAGAUACCAGCGUUUUGCAGAAGGAAUGUGAGGGGGACUGUUCGUCCUUGAUAAUCUAACGUGAUCUGAU
rnacentral:rRNA from 1 species